CGGCCUUUCACCCCGCACCGCACGACUCUUCUCUCCCCCCUCGCCGCCUCCCGCCUCCGGUCACCCGCCGUUCGUCUUCCCGGGGGACGCAGCCGCACCACCGCGCAUAGCUGCACCCCCCGGCGUCCUCAACCAUAGGAUGCCGCCGCACCUCUCCUCUGCAUCUCCCUGUUGGCGGGAUCCAGGUCACGGGGCUGACAACCUCAUCGUCUCUGACGGCGGAUCUGGUCGUCGGUGAGGAGGCCGAGCCUCCUGCUCCAGCCACAGCCACCCCGACCUCGUUCGGGAUUGAGAGGAUGGAUCUCGGUGACGGGAGGAUGGCGUUCGUCCUGUGAGCAAAGAUAGUAUGUAACUCAUGGAGUGCAAGCUGUUGUGCGGCUGCGUGGCGACGCUCGACUGUAGCGUUGAGAUGUAGGGCACGUGCGCCAUGAUGUCGUGCUUCACCAUCGCCUCCCCUAGCUUUCUCGCAAGGCGUCGUGGUCUCGAUGGGUUGGGGCUCGCCUCCCGCACUCCUCUUUGUCGUGCACAACAACCAUGGUGACCCCUAGGUGUCGAAUUAUUGAGGGAGGCUUUAGAUCGUCCUGGGCAUGGAGAUGAGGCUGGCCAUUAAGGAUCUGGGUGAAGGUCACGUCGUCUCUUCUCCUGGCUCCAAUAUCCAGUACUUCCACUGCUGAUAUUUUGAGUUCUUUGAUCUGAGAAAGAACCAUGGGAACGAGGAUGCAAUUCACUCCUUACAUGUAAACAGUGUCACAUCUUACAGAAGCUUCUAAUUAUUUACAAUGAGUAUGGGACAUAAACCAAUGUGCUUGGUCUGUGCUUUGUGUUUCUGUCAUGCCUUGUCUUUAGAAGGCACCGUCAUGAAUGCUAAUUUAAUAGAGGAGAAUCAAGCAAGCGACGUGCAAUGAUUUUAAUGACCAUAUUCUAAACUUAAUGAUGAUUGAUAGCCGAUUUAUGGUUUCUUCCACUUCAGUAAGAAAGAUGCGGUGUACAAAAUCUUGCAAAAAUGGAGGAUAUGGAUUUGGUGGGCGAACUGUCCCGAUAACGGCGGUGCAGCCUACCAACACCAUGUCCAAGACCGCCUGACUUGACCUCUAUCUUAAUGUUAAUUCAAUGCCCAACAAUAUCAACAGUUGUCAGCAAGAAGUUACUCCAAAUUCCAUCGCCCAACAAUAUCAUCAGUUGUAAGCAAGAAGUUAGGUGUUUGGUAUGUACCCCAGUGCAAGAGACCAUGGAUGCAAAAGUCAGAUAAUUAGGAACUUGAACUACAAGGGCAAAUGGGAGGCACCUUUGAUCGACAUUCAGCCCAGGGAACCUCAACUUUCCCACUGUUGUACAUUCAUACUACUGUCCAUGUAUCACUUCUGCUCAACUAUAAUACACGGAAACAUGAAAGCUCAUAUUUUCCCCUUGUUUGUGCAGAGUACAAGGAUGAUUCCUACAUCUAUGCACUGAUAUGCUGAAGCACAUUGGAAUUGAGCCAAGGCAGCGGGAUUGAGAGGAUGGAUCUCGGUGACGGGAGGAUGGCGUUCGUCGUGUGAGCGAAGAUAGUAUGUAACUCAUGGAGUGCAAGCUGUUGUGCGGCUGCGUGGCGACGCUCGACUAUAGCGUUGAGAUGUAGGGCACGUGCGCCAUGAUGUCGUGCUUCACCAUCGCCUCCCCUAGCUUUCUCGCAAGGCAUCGUGGUCUUGAUGGGUUGGGGCUCGCCUCCCGCACUCCUCUUUGUCGUGCACAACAACCAUGGUGACCCCUAGGUGUCGAAUUAUUGAGGGAGGCUUUAGAUCGUCCUGGGCAUGGAGAUGAGGCUGGCCAUUAAGGAUCUGGGUGAAGGUCACGUCGUCUCUUCUCCUGGCUCCAAUAUCCACUACUUCCACUGCUGAUAUUUUGAGUUCUUUGAUCUGAGAAAGAACCAUGGGAACAUAAGUAAGAAAGAUGCGGUGUACAAAAUCUUGCAAAAAUGGAGGAUAUGGAUUUGGUGCACGAAUUGUCCCGACAACGGCGGUGCUGCCUACCAACACCAUGUGCAAGACCGCCUGACUUGACCUCUAUCUUAAUGUUGUCAGCAAGAAGUUACUCCAAAUUCCAUCGCCCAACAAUAUCAUCAGUUGUAAGCAAGAAGUUAGGUGUUUGGUAUGUACCCCAGUGCAAGAGACCAUGGAUGCAAAAGUCAGAUAAUUAGGAACUUGAACUACAAGGGCAAAUGGGAGGCACCUUUGAUCGACAUUCAGCCCAGGCAACC